GACGAACGCUGGCGGCGUGCUUAACACAUGCAAGUCGAACGGAAAGGCCCUGCUUUUGUGGGGUGCUCGAGUGGCGAACGGGUGAGUAACACGUGAGUAACCUGCCCUUGACUUUGGGAUAACUUCAGGAAACUGGGGCUAAUACCGGAUAGGAGCUCCUGCUGCAUGGUGGGGGUUGGAAAGUUUCGGCGGUUGGGGAUGGACUCGCGGCUUAUCAGCUUGUUGGUGGGGUAGUGGCUUACCAAGGCUUUGACGGGUAGCCGGCCUGAGAGGGUGACCGGCCCCAUUGGGGAAGAGAUACGGGCCCGACCCCCCCGGGAGGGAGAAGUGGGGGAUAUUGCACAAUGGGGGGAAGCCUGAUGCAGAAACGCGCCGGGCGGGAUGAGGGGCCUUGGGUGUUAAACCCCUUUUUCCCGUGACGAAGCGGGAGUGAGGGGGAUGGGUAAAAAAAACCACGGUAAAUACGCG
rnacentral:rRNA from 1 species